UACAUCAAAUAAAGACAUUAAAUUCAUCAUUUUUAGACAUUAAUAGCAUUAAUCAAUUUAAAACUAACAUAACUAGGUAGAGAGUAAAGAACUAACCUCAUUGCCACUUUGCUCCAAAAUGAAAAGGACUCUAUGGCCACAUGAGUAACGACCAUUACUCGUUACUUAACAGCCAAUAAAGGCCAUUAUAAUCACAUGCCGUAACCAAUACUAAUUUUUUCUUCUUUUGUUGUUAUUUAAUGUAGAUAACAGUAACACACCCUCAAAAGCCUCUAUUUAAUGGCCAUUAGGUUACCUUUUAAAACCGUGGCCCAAAAUUUUGAGAAAUUUAUAAAAAUUUCUAAAACAAAUCAACAACCUUAUUUGGAUAAGAAAAUAUACGUUUAAUGAUCUCAAAGGCAACCAAUACCUUAACCUUUUAAACUAUGGAAAAGCUUCAUGUAAUGUGCAAAUAAACAAAUAAGGAGAGAAAAUAUUUUAACCAACCUGCUACUUGAGACAACAAUG
rnacentral:misc_RNA from 1 species